rnacentral:rRNA from 1 species
AUAGCGUAUAUUAAAGUUGUUGCAGUUAAAAAGCUCGUAGUUGAACUUCGAACGUGGCUGGGCGGUCCGCCUCACGGUGUGUACUGUCUGGCUGUGUUCUCUUUCUUGGUGAGCCGGCAUGCCCUUCACUGGGUGUGUUGGGGAACCAGGACGUUUACCUUGAGAAAAUUAGAGUGUUCAAAGCAGGCCUACGCCCGAAUACAUUAGCAUGGCAUAAUAAAAUAGGACGUGUGGUUCUAUUUUGUUGGUUUCUAGAGCCGCAGUAAUGAUUAAUAGGGAUAGUUGGGGGCAUUAGUAUUGCGUUGCUAGAGGCGAAAUUCUUGGAUUUACGCAAGACUAACUUCUG